AUGUAAUGUCUACAAUGUUAAUGCAUCAUAUCCCAUUAGAACUCUAUAGUUAAGCACAAUUGGGCUAGAUUAGUAUUGGGAUGGAUGACCUUUGGGGAAGUUCUAGUGUUUUACAUG
rfam:Picea glauca, whole genome shotgun sequence.